rnacentral:rRNA from 1 species
AAUGACUCUCGGCAACGGAUAUCUCGGCUCUUGCAUCGAUGAAGAACGUAGCGAAAUGCGAUACUUGGUGUGAAUUGCAGAAUCCCGCGAACCAUCAAUUCUUUGAACGCAAGUUGCGCCCGAAGCCAUUCGGCCGAGGGCACGCCUGCCUGGGUGUCGUGA